ACCACUGACUGGUGAGGGAAUUGCCCUAUGAUGGAUGGGCCUGCCUCAAGCUGCCAUAAGCUGGGAGGACCGACGGUUGACUGACACUGCCUGCUUGGUUGGCCAUUACCGAUUCUUAAGAAAAGGAGGACCGCCAAGCUUGGAUGAGACUGGAAAAUUACGAAGCUCUAUCUGGACAAGGAUGCCCUCAUCAGACACUUUCCAAUUUGCGGAAUAUUUGAUCAAAAAUCAGACUGCAUAUUAUUUUGCAAUAUUAUAAAACAUAAAAACGACGAAAAUACGAAUUCUUACUCCAAAGUUACCGCUAUAAUUGGAAGAAAUAAAAGCUUAAAUCACUGUUACUUGUUAACUUUACUGAGAUACCUAUACCUGAAAUAUUUGACAACGAAUAUGACGAAAAUUGAAGAAAAAAGUCAAAUGUGUGUUAAAUACAUUGCAGUGAAAAUCAAAUCAUGAGCGGAUCUUCUUCUCACAGAAAUGUUUCUCCGCUUCCAACAAGUGGCUGAGAAAAUGAUGAAAUUUACGCCGAAAAUAACUGAAAUCAGUGUUGUUUUUACCUUUACUGCGAUACCUACAGGAAAUAUUUGACUAAACGCGUGUGACGAAACGUGGAAACAAAAAUCAAAUCGGUCCAAAUUAAA